rnacentral:rRNA from 1 species
GACGAACGCUGGCGGCGUGCUUAACACAUGCAAGUCGAACGGAAAGGCCCCUUUGGGGGUCCUCGAGUGGCGAACGGGUGAGUAACACGUGAGUAACCUGCCCUUGACUUCGGGAUAACUUCAGGAAACUGGGGCUAAUACCGGAUAGGAAUCCUUGCGGCAUGGUGGGGGUUGGAAAGCUUCGGCGGUUUUGGAUGGACUCGCGGCUUAUCAGCUUGUUGGUGGGGUAGUGGCUUACCAAGGCUUUGACGGGUAGCCGGCCUGAGAGGGCGACCGGCCACCUUGGGACUGAGAGACGGCCCAGACGCCUACGGGAGGAAGAAGUGGGGAAUAUUGCACAAGGGGCGGCAGCCUGAUGAAGAAACGCCGCGUGCGGGAUGACGGCCUUCGGGUUGUAAACCGCUUUCAGCAGGGGCGAAGCUUGUGGUGACGGUACCUGCAGAAGAAGCACCGGCUAACUACGUG